UGGGGAAUCUUGCGCAAUGCGCGAAAGCGUGACGCAGCAACGCCGCGUGGGCGAAGAAGGUCUUCGGAUUGUAAAGCCCUUUCAGUUGGGACGAAGCUUCGCCGGUGAAUAGCCGGCUGGAGUGACGGUACCUUCAGAAGAAGCCCCGGCUAACUACGUGCCAGCAGCCGCGGUAAUACGUAGGGGGCAAGCGUUGUCCGGAAUCAUUGGGCGUAAAGAGCGUGUAGGCGGCCUGAUAAGUCUGCUGUGAAAGUCCAGGGCUCAACCCUGGGAUGCCGGUGGAAACUGUCAGGCUAGAGUGCGGAAGAGGCGAGUGGAAUUCCUGGUGUAGCGGUGAAAUGCGCAGAUAUCAGGAGGAACACCAAUUGCGAAGGCAGCUCGCUGGGACGUGACUGACGCUGAGACGCGAAAGCGUGGGGAGCAAACAGG
rnacentral:rRNA from 1 species